rnacentral:misc_RNA from 1 species
CAGAGAACAUCGCCCCCUGUGGGUGACUCUCCAACCCAAUGUCAUCUUGCCUUUGUUGCUUCGGCGAGCCGCUGCGGCCACCGGCUCCGGCUGGUGUGCGCUCGCCGGAGGACCCCAAACGCUGAAUUUUAAAGUAUUGUCCGAGUAAACAUAUAAUUUUUA